rnacentral:tRNA from 1 species
GCCUGGGUGGUUCAGUUGGUUGAGCGUCUGACUUCAGCUCAGGUCAUGAUCUCACGGUCUGUGGGUUCGAGCCCCAUGUCGGGCU